rnacentral:rRNA from 1 species
CGGGAUGGACAUACCACUGGUGUACCAGUUGUUCUGCCAAGAGCAUCGCUGGGUAGCUAUGUAUGGCAGGGAUAAGUGCUGAAGGCAUCUAAGCACGAAGCCCCCCUCAAGAUAAGAUUUCCCAUCUCGAAAGAGAGUAAGACCCCAGAAAGACUAUCUGGUUGAUAGGUCGGAGGUGUAAGUGCAGUAAUGUACUAAGCUGACCGAUACUAAUAGGUCGAGGGCUUGACCA